UCAAGCUACAAAGAGCACAAGGGGAAUGCCUUGGCACCGAGAGCCGAAGAAGGACGUGACUAACUGCGAUAAGCUGCGGGGAGCCGUAAGUAGGCUUUGAUCCGCAGAUUUCCGAAUGGAGCAAUCCGGCAAGAGGAAAGUCUUGUCAUCAUAUACUGAAUACAUAGGUAUAUGAGGGGAACCGCCUGAACUGAAACAUCUAAGUAGGGCGAGGAAGAGAAAUCAACUGAGAUUCCGUAAGUAGUGGCGAGCGAACGCGGAAGAGGCCAAACCGAGAGUAGUAAUACUUUCGGGGUUCGGACAGAAUACGGCAUUGUAAAGGUUUAGUGGAAUGGAAUGGGAAGUCCAACCGAAGAAGGUGAGAGUCCUGUACACGAAAAGCCUGAACAGCCAUCUGUAUCCAGAGUACCGCCGGACACGUGAAACCCGGUGGGAAUACGGGGGGACCAUCCUCCAAGCCUAAAUACUACUCGGUGACCGAUAGUGAAGAAGUACUGUGAAGGAAAGGUGAAAAGUACCCCUGACGGGGAGUGAAAAAGAACCUGAAACCUUGUGUUUACAAGCACCGAAAGCUCAUCAAAGAGCGAUCGGGUACCUUUUGUAGAAUGGUCCGGCGAGUGAAUGUAACCGGCGAGGUUAAGCACUUAAGGUGUGAAGCCGCAGCGAGAGCAAGUCUGAAUAGGGCGUAUGAAGUCGGUUGUAUUCGACCCGAAACCGGGUGACCUACCCAUGGUCAGGUUGAAGUAAAGGUAAAACUUUAUGGAGGACCGAACCGACUCCCGUUGAAAUGGUAGCGGAUGAACUGUGGGUAGCGGAGAAAUUCCAAUCGAACCCGGAGAUAGCUGGUUCUCUCCGAAAUAGUUUUAGGACUAGCGUUGUAUUAGAUUCCCGGAGGUAAAGCACUGAAUAGGCUAGGGGCCGAGAGGUUACUGAACCUUAUCAAACUAAGAAUGCCGGAGAAUUGAUGUACAGCAGUCAGACAGUGUGAGAUAAGUUUCAUUGUCGAAAGGGAAACAGCCCAGACCCACAGCUAAGGUCCCAAAGUAUCGUUAAGUGGAAAAGGAUGUGGAGGUGCGCAGACAACCAGGAUGUUGGCUCAGAAGCAGCCAUUCAUUAAAAGAGUGCGUAAUAGCUCACUGGUCGAGUGCCCCCGCGCCGAAGAUUUAACGGGGCUAAACGAUACACCGAAGCUUGGGAUGCAGAAAUGCAUGGUAGGAGAGCGUUCUAUACGGGGUGAAGUCAUAGCGGAAGCGAUGGUGGACUGUAUAGAAGUGAGAAUGCCGGAAUGAGUAGCGAGAAAUAUGUGAGAAUCAUAUUGGCCGAAAGUCUAAGGUUUUUGGAGGAAGGUUCGUCCGCUCCAAGUAAGUCGGGAGCUAAGGUCAGGCCGAAAGGCGUAGCCGAUGCACAUACGGUUGAUAUUCCGUAACCAUCUGUAAUUUAAGCAAAGGGACACUUCAAAAGGGUGUGACCCGGGCGUUGGUUGACCCGGGCGUAAGGGACCGAAAUUAGAGUAGGGAAGCACACUUAGCUGAAGGCGAGAAAAGCUUUGCGUAUAGAAACAGAUGCCCGUACCGCAAACCGACACAGGUGGACAGGAAGAGAAUUCUAAGGCCAGCGGGAGAAGGGUAGUUAAGGAACUCGGCAAAUUGACUCCGUAACUUCGGAAUAAGGAGUGCUCGAAAGAGCCGCAGAGAAUAGGCCCAGGCGACUGUUUAGCAAAAACACAGGUCUCUGCCAAAUCGAAAGAUGAAGUAUAGGGGCUGACACCUGCCCGGUGCCGGAAGGUUAAGAGGAGGAGUGAGAGCUCCGAAUUGAAGCCCCGGUAAACGGCGGCCGUAACUAUAACGGUCCUAAGGUAGCGAAAUUCCUUGUCGGGUAAGUUCCGACCCGCACGAAUGGCGUAACGACUUGUGAGCUGUCUCAACAGGAGGCCCGGUGAAAUUGAAGUAUGUGUGAAGAUGCACAUUACCCGCGACUGGACGGAAAGACCCCGUAGAGCUUUACUGUAACCUGACAUUGGAUCUUGAUAACGGAUGCACAGGAUAGGUGGGACGCAGAGAGACGAGGACUUCGGUUUUCGUGGAGCGGCCGUUGGGAUACCACUCUUCUGUUAUUGAGAUUCUAACCUCAAGCCGUGAGCCGGAUGAGAGACAGUGUCAGGCGGACAGUUUGACUGGGGCGGUCGCCUCCGAAAGAGUAACGGAGGCGCCCAAAGGUACCCUCAGAAUGGAUGGAAACCAUUCGAAGAGAGCAAAGUCAGAAGGGUGCUUGACUGCGAGACCAACAAGUCGAGCAGGUACGAAAGUAGGGCUUAGUGAUCCGGCGGUAAGAGAGUGGAAUUGCCGUCGCUCAACGGAUAAAAGCUACCUCGGGGAUAACAGGCUGAUCUCCCCCAAGAGU
rnacentral:rRNA from 1 species